UGGGGAAUAUUGCACAAUGGGCGCAAGCCUGAUGCAGCCAUGCCGCGUGUAUGAAGAAGGCCUUCGGGUUGUAAAGUACUUUCAGUCGGGAGGAAGGUGGUAAGGUUAAUAACCUUAUCAAUUGACGUUACCGACAGAAGAAGCACCGGCUAACUCCGUGCCAGCAGCCGCGGUAAUACGGAGGGUGCAAGCGUUAAUCGGAAUUACUGGGCGUAAAGCGCACGCAGGCGGUUGAUUGAGUCAGAUGUGAAAUCCCCGGGCUUAACCCGGGAAUUGCAUCUGAAACUGGUCAGCUAGAGUCUUGUAGAGGGGGGUAGAAUUCCAUGUGUAGCGGUGAAAUGCGUAGAGAUGUGGAGGAAUACCGGUGGCGAAGGCGGCCCCCUGGACAAAGACUGACGCUCAGGUGCGAAAGAGUGGGGAGCAAACAGG
rnacentral:rRNA from 1 species